rnacentral:rRNA from 1 species
GAUGAACGCUAGCGAGACGCUUAACACAUGCAAGUCGAAUGCUGAUUUAUCAGCAUGGCAGACGGGUGAGUAACACGUGCUUAAUUUGCCCCGGAGUGGGGGACAACAUCGGAAACGGUGAUAAUCCCGCAUACGUUCCACAAAAUGAAAAUAUGUGGAAGAAAGAUUUAUCGCUCUGGGAGGAGGGCGCGUCUGACUAGUUAGUUGGUGAGGUAAUGGCUCACCAAGACGAUGAUCAGUAGCUGGUCUGAGAGGACGAACAGCCACAAUGGGACUGAGACAAGGCCCAUACCCCUACGGGGGGCAGCAGUGGGGAAUCUUGCGCAAUGGACGAAAGUCUGACGCAGCGAUCUCGCGUGAAGGAUGAAGCUUUUGCGGAGUGUAAACUUCUUUUCUGGGAGAAAACAACUUGAUGGUAACUCUCAGGAAUAAGGGACGGCUAACUACGUG